UGGGGAAUAUUGGACAAUGGGCGAAAGCCUGAUCCAGCCAUGCCGCGUGUGUGAAGAAGGUCUUCGGAUUGUAAAGCACUUUAAGUUGGGAGGAAGGGCAGUAAGCGAAUACCUUGCUGUUUUGACGUUACCGACAGAAUAAGCACCGGCUAACUCUGUGCCAGCAGCCGCGGUAAUACAGAGGGUGCAAGCGUUAAUCGGAAUUACUGGGCGUAAAGCGCGCGUAGGUGGUUCGUUAAGUUGAAUGUGAAAGCCCCGGGCUCACCCUGGGAACUGCAUCCAAUACUGACGGGCUAGAGUAGGGCAGAGGGUGGUGGAAUUUCCUGUGUAGCGGUGAAAUGCGUACAGAUCUGGAGGAAUACCGAUGGCGAAGGCAGCCAUCUGGCCUAACACUGACGCUGAGGUACGAAAGCAUGGGGAGCAAACAGG
rnacentral:rRNA from 1 species